GCCCUCCUUCACUGCUUCAUCAUUUUUCUUUUCAGACUGAUGUGGAUCGGACGGGUUUUAUUCGCAGUGAGUCAUACUUUGCUCUUUUUCACUUGCAUUCUGCUGUGUGCUUCAUAAUGUGGCUUUUUUUGAGUGCUUUGCUGAUUUAAAUUGUGUGCUUUGCUGUUUUAAAUUGUAUGCCUCGCUGCUUUCAUUUGUGUUUGUGUUGCUGUGACAUCUUGACCCGCAUUGCACAUGCACAUGUGUUAGGAACACAUGUAGAAACAACACACAUUUAGUUGCUGACAAACAUGCACAUGUGUUAGGAACACAACAUGUAGAAACAACACACAUUUAGUUGCUGACAAACAUGCACAUGUGUUAGGAACACAACAUGUAGAAACACACAUUUAUUAGUCAGUGACAAACAUGCACAUGUGUUAGGAACACAACAUGUAGAAACACACAUUUAUUAGUCAGUGACAAACAUGCACAUGUGUUAGGAACACAACAUGUAGAAACACACAUUUAGUUGCUGACAAACAUGCACAUGUUAGGAACACAACAUGUAGAAACACACAUUUAGUGACAAACAUGCACAUGUGUUAGGAACACAACAUGUAGAAACACACAUUUAGUGACAAACAUGCACAUGUGUUAGGAACACAACAUGUAGAAACACACAUUUAGUGACAAACAUGCACACGUGUUAGGAACACAACAUGUAGAAACACACAUUUAGUGACAAACAUGCACAUGUUAGGAACACAACAUGUAGAAACACACAUUUAGUGACAAACAUGCACAUGUGUUAGGAACACAACAUGUAGAAACACACAUUUAGUGACAAACAUGCACACGUGUUAGGAACACAACAUGUAGAAACACACAUUUAGUGACAAACAUGCACAUGUUAGGAACACAACAUGUAGAAACAAGACACAUUUAGUUGCUGACAAGCUGUCAGUCACCAUGGCUCUCAACUGCUGGCUAAGAGAGUCAAGGUGUGGCUGAAUGUUUGCUACAGGUGAACACACCUGCCUUUACUGAUUAGGCCCAAAUAUGGUUGUGCCAAUGUUUGGUUGGGUCUGGCUCUCUGGGAGGCCACUGCUUGGUUGGGUCUGGCUCUCUGGGAGGCCACUGCUUGGUUGGCUUUGGCUCUCUGGGAGGCCACUGCUUGGUUGGGUCUGGCUCUCUGGGAGGCCACUGCUUGGUUGGGUCUGGCUCUCUGGGAGGCCACUGCUUGGUUGGGUCUGGCUCUCUGGGAGGCCACUGCUUGGUUGGGUCUGGCUCUCUGGGAGGCCACUGCUUUAAUUCUUGUCAUCAGUCAUUAUUGAAGUUUGGUCUGGUCACGUACAGGCUCUGUAUGUAUAUGGACAUGUGUAUGUAUGUUUAUGGUCAUUUACAGACUCAACAUGUAUAUCGUUUAUAGUUAUGUACAGGCUUGACAUGUAUGUAUAUUUAUGGUCAUGUAUAGGGACAUUAUCUCUAUGUAUGUUAAUGGUCAUGUACAUGUAUCUCUGUAUGUAUAGUUAUGGUCAUGUAUAGGCUCUGUAUGUAUAUUGUUAAUGGUCAUGUAUAUUUAUAUAUGUUCAUGGACAUGUAUAUCUCUAUAUGUAUAUGCUCAACAUGUAUGUAUGUUAAUCAUGUAUAGUUAUGUUAUAGUUAUAGUUAGUUUCAAUGUUUGUUUAUAGUCAUAUACAGACUGUAUGUAUAUGGACAUGUAUAUCUAUAUAUGUAUAUGCUCAACAUGUAUGUAUGUUUAUAGUCAUGUAUAGUUAUGUAUAUUUCAAUGUUUGUUUAUAGUCAUAUACAGACUGUAUGUAUAUGGACAUGUAUAUCAUUUACGUAUAUGUACAGGAUCUGUAUGAAUAUUUUAUGUGCAGGCUUGACAUGUUUAUCUCUGUAUACUUAUACAUACAGAUAUAUGUCGAGCCUGUACAUGACCAUGUUUAUGGUCAUGUACAGGCUCAACAUGUAUUUAUAUUUACAGUCAUGUACAGUUUCUGUAUGUGUAUAGGCUUGACAUGUUCCUGUAUAAUUAUGGUCAUGUACAGGCUUGACAUCUCUAUGUAUGUUUAUGGUCAUUUACAGGCUCAAUAUGUAUAUUGUUCAUGGUCAUGCACAGGUUCUGUAUGUAUAUGGACAUGUAUAUCAUUUAUGUACAUGUACAGGCUCUAUGUAUAUUUACGUUCUAUGUACAGGCUUGACAUGUAUGUUUAUGUUCAUGUACAAGCUCAAAAUGUAAAUCUGUAUAUUUAUGUUCAUGUAUAUAUGUUUAUGGUCAUGUAUGUAUAUGGUCUGUUUGCAGGUUGGACGUGCAUCUGUAUUUUGUUCGGUUCAUUUGCAGGCUGGACCUGCAUCAAUGAAUUUUGUGGGGUCCAUUUGCAGGUUGGACGUGCAUCUAUGAAUUUUGUUGGGUCCAUUUGCAGGUUGGACGUGCAUCUAUGAAUUUUGUUCGGUCCAUUUGCAGGCUGGACGUGUAUCUAUGUAUUUUGUUCGGUUAAUUUGCAGGCUGGACGUGAAUCUAUGAAUUUUGUUGGGUCCAUUUGCAGGCUGGACGUGCAGGUAUGUAUUUUGUGGGGUCCAUUUGCAGGUUGGACGUGCAUCUAUGAAUUUUGUUCGGUUCAUUUGCAGGCUGGACGUGAAUCUAUGAAUUUUGUUGGGUCCAUUUGCAGGCUGGACGUGCAGGUAUGUAUUUUGUGGGGUCCAUUUGCAGGUUGGACGUGCAUCUAUGAAUUUUGUUCGGUUCAUUUGCAGGCUGGACGUGAAUCUAUGAAUUUUGUUGGGUCCAUUUGCAGGCUGGACGUGCAUCUAUGAAUUUUGUUAGGUCCACUUGCAGGCUGGACGUGCAGGUAAGUAUUUUGUUCGGUCCAUUUGCAGGUUGGACGUGCAUCUAUGUAUUUUGUGGGGUCCAUUUGCAGGUUGGACGUGCAUCUAUGAAUUUUGUUCGGUCCAUUUGCAGGCUGGACGUGUAUCUAUGUAUUUUGUUCGGUUCAUUUGCAGGCUGGACGUGCAGGUAUGUAUUUUGUGGGGUCCAUUUGCAGGCUGGACGUGCAUCUAUGAAUUUUGUUCGGUUCAUUUGCAGGCUGGACGUGAAUCUAUGAAUUUUGUUGGGUCCAUUUGCAGGCUGGACGUGCAGGUAUGUAUUUUGUGAGGUCCAUUUGCAGGUUGGACGUGCAUCUAUGAAUUUUGUUCGGUUUAUUUGCAGGCUGGACGUGAAUCUAUGAAUUUUGUUGGGUCCAUUUGCAGGCUGGACGUGCAGGUAUGUAUUUUGUGGGGUCCAUUUGCAGGCUGGAUGUGCAGGUAAGUAUUUUGUUCGGUCCAUUUGCAGGCUGGACGUGCAGGUAAGUAUUUUGUUCGGUCCAUUUGCAGGCUGGACGUAUCUAUGUAUUUUGUGGGGUCCAUUUGCAGGUUGGACGUGUAUCUAUGUAUUUUGUUCGGUCCAUUUGCAGGUUGGACGUGCAUCUAUGAAUUUUGUGGGGUCCAUUUGCAGGUUGGACGUGCAGGUAAGUAUUUUGUUCAGUCCAUUUGCAGGUUGGACGUGCAUCUAUGAAUUUUGUGGGGUCCAUUUGCAGGUUGGACGUGCAGGUAUGUAUUUUGUUCGGUCCACUUGCAGGCUGGACGUGCAUCUAUGAAUUUUGUGGGGUCCAUUUGCAGGUUGGACGUGCAGGUAAGUAUUUUGUUGGGUCCAUUUGCAGGCUGGACAUGCAUCUAUGAAUUUUGUGGGGUCCAUUUGCAGGUUGGACGUGCAGGUAAGUAUUUUGUUGGGUCCAUUUGCAGGCUGGACGUGUAUCUAUGAAUUUUGUUGGGUCCAUUUGCAGGUUGGACGUGCAUCUAUGAAUUUUGUUGGGUCCAUUUGCAGGUUGGACGUGCAUCUAUGAAUUUUGUUGGGUCCAUUUGCAGGUUGGACGUGCAUCUAUGAAUUUUGUGGGGUCCAUUUGCAGGUUGGACGUGCAGGUAAGUAUUUUGUUGGGUCCAUUUGCAGGUUGGACGUGCAUCUAUGAAUUUUGUGGGGUCCAUUUGCAGGUUGGACGUGCAGGUAAGUAUUUUGUUCGGUCCACUUGCAGGUUGGACGUGCAUCUAUGAAUUUUGUGGGGUCCAUUUGCAGGUUGGACGUGCAGGUAAGUAUUUUGUUCGGUCCACUUGCAGGCUGGACGUGUAUCUAUGUAUUUUGUUGGGUCCAUUUGCAGGUUGGACGUGCAGGUAUGAAUUUUGUUGGGUCCAUUUGCAGGCUGGACGUGCAUCUAUGAAUUUUUGGUUCAUUUGCAGGCUGGACGUGAAUCUGUGAAUUUUGUUGGGUCCAUUUGCAGGUUGGACGUGUAUCUAUGUAUUUUGGUCGGUUCAUUUGUAGGCUGGAUGUGUUUCUAUGUAUUUUGUUCGGUCCAUUCGCUGGACAUGUUUGUAUUUUGUAGGGUCCAUUUGCAGGCUGGACGUGCAUCUAUGUAUUUUGUUCUCAUGGUUUAUGUACAAUGUCAAUUUUGGGGGGGUCUUGUCAUCUAUAAUACAAGGUCAAUAUGUAUUUAAUAUGUCAUGUUUUUUGUUAUCUACAAAGUCAAUUUUUAAGGGGUAUGGCCAUCUACAAUACGAGGUCAAUUUGUGGGGGGGUCUUGUCAUCUGCAGUACAAGGUCAAUAUGUAUUUUGUCAUGCUUUAUUUACAAGGUCAAUUUUGGGGGGUGUCUGGUUAUCUAUGAUACAAGGUCAAUAUGUAUUUAAUUUAUUUACAAUGUCAUUUUUGGGGGGGGGGGGUUCUGGUCAUCUAUAAUACAAGGUCAAUAUGUAUUUACUUUGUUAUAUACAAGGUCAAUUUUGGGGACGUCUGGUUAUCUACAAUACAAGGUCAAUAUGUAUUUGUCAUGGUUUUUGUUUCUACAAGGUAAAUUUUUGGGUAGGCUGGUCCUCAACAAUACAAGGUCAAUAUUGGUUUAUUCCGCCAAGCAAUGCUACAUAAGUCUUACCCAAUGUUAUCCAUUCAUUCAUGUUAUUUAUCCUUCUUACACCAUGCAGCGCUACAUUACACAACUUACAAUGUGUUCUCAAUCCUGCUGCUUCUCCUCCUGCUGUGCGCACUGUUGGGUGCACUGCGGCCCACAUCAAUGGGCGUUCCCUCUCCGCUGCAGCCGUGCCUCCGCAAGAGAUCUGCAAUCAACACACCUGCCAGUGAUGAGCGACCAGCCUUCAAAAGCCAGCGCGUCUGAGAUCCGAUGUCAGAACGUAGCUUCUCUUACUCCGUACACUUCCUCGAGCCACGUGUUUUUUUCUGGACCCCUUUGGAUUCCUUCUUGGCUUCCUGGACUAAGACCUCGCUCCUGUCCUCGACUAUCCGCCUGCCCCCUGACGUCCGAGCCUGCUUUUCCCCUUUUGGACUCCCGCCUGGUUCUCAACACGCACACUCAACACCCUCUGGUGACCACGCUCAGAUAAUACUUACACGUAGUCGCACUACUUCUCUUUCAGCUAAUCACACACUGCACUCUCAUACUGAGCUGUCAAUAAACAUGCUUACAAUU